UAUCCGUUGUUAGAUAAUGCUUUUGUUCAUCUCUCAACAUAACAAGUACAUUCAUACAGUUAUUAAAAAUAUGACACUCUUUAUUACUAGUAAUUCUCAGCCAUCAGUUUGUAUUGGGAUUUUGUGGAAUACUUACUAAACUAAUAUACGUCUGUUUAAUGAAUGAAUAGCUAUGGUACAAUAUGAUACUCAGUGUUACAAAACAUGUGUAAUAUAAAUAUAAUGUCAUUUAUUUGAAGUCAUAAAAUUUAGUUGUCCAUACAAUGCUUACAGUUUUGCAAUUGCGAUGAUAAAGGAAAUGUUCUGCUCAAAAUGUCUUUUUAAGACAUGUGAAAAUUGUAGCAAUCAUAUUGUACUUGUAUUUAUAUUAAACAUUAUAAGAAUUUACUUACGGCUGAUGAUAGCGGCUGUUUACUAUUUGUGUUACAGUUAGUUUCACUCGACCAUUAGACCAUAUUUCCUUAAACAUGUGAUUGUUUAUAUUGAACUUUAAUUGAAUGCAUGAAACAUGAUUGUUCUGUUGCUUAACAGCUGAAAAAAGCUUGAUGUUUGUAAAAUUGUAUGAAAUGUUUCAAAUAAAUCAUAUUGAUUUCAUAAAAAAAUAAAAUUCCAUUUUGCGUUACUUUGAAUGCAUAACAAACAAUUGUUACCAUACAAUCAUAUUAGUAUUGAACUUAAUUAAUACUUUAAGAUGCAAUUUUUACAAUAAUGUGUUAAUAUUGUCAUCCAUUCCAAAUAAGCAUUGUGCAUUCGUAAAUAUAGGGUGUAUAUACACUGCUUAGAUGCCUUUUUAUGCCCCCCUUCGAAGAAGAGGGGGUAUAUUGCUUUGCUCAUGUCGGUAGGUCGGUCGGCCCGUCCGUCCACCAGAUGGUUGUCAGACGAUAACUCAAGAACGCUUGGGCCUAGGAUCAUGAAACUUCAAAGGUACAUUGAUCAUGACUCACAGAUGACCCCUAUUGAUUUUUAGGUCACUAGGUCAAAGGUCAAGGUCACGGUGACCCGAAAUAAUAAAAUGGUUUCCGGAUGAUAACUCAAGAACGCAUACGCCUAGGAUCUUAAAACUUUAUGGGUAGAUUGAUCAUGACUCGCAGAUGACCCCUAUUGAUUUUCAGGUCACUAGGUCAAAGGUCAAGGUCACGGUGACCCGAAUAUAGUAAAAUGGUUUCCGGAUUAUAACUCAAGAACGCAUACGCCUAGGAUCAUGAAACUUCAUGGGUAGAUUGAUCAUGACUCGCAGAUGACCCCUAUUGAUUUUCAGGUCACUAGGUUAAAGGUCACGGUGACCUGAAAUAGUAAAAUGGUUUCCGGAUGAUAACUCAAGAAGGCAAACGCCUAGGAUCAUGAAACUUCAUGGGUAGAUUGAUCAUGACUGGCAGAUCAGCUGUAUCGGGAGGAGGAGGCUGAAUAUGUCCCAAAAUUAGUCAGUGAAAACCAAGAUUUGGUCAGGGAAAAGUCAGUGAAAAGUCAGGGAAUUUUAUUUCAUCAGGUUGGUGGCAACCCUGAUAAACUACAUAGCAACUUCAUAUUUGGCUUACUGGGGGGCAUUGUGUUUCUCGAAGAAAUCUUGUUUAAAUUGCUUGUGCACGUCAUAUUGAUUAAAGACUCUUGCAUAUUUGUGUGUGCCUAUGUCUUACUUAUCUCUUCAUAGUCCUUAAAUUACUGCAAAUAGUAUUUUAAUAAUGUUACGAUAUUUAUCUAAACUAUAACCAGGUUAUCUGUUAAUUUAAGUUUCAUACAUUGUAUUGUCUAGCUAAUUAAAUUGAAGUGUCUAUAUUCUCGCCAACAUGCAUUGUCUGUGUAUGGUUUAGACAAAGCACAUUACACAACUCAUGUUGUUUUUCUCCAUCAUUAAUAACCGAUGUUUAUUCCGUAGAGGUCGCAUUAUACUAAAUAUUUCAGUUGUGCAAUGCUUUGCUCUCUUAAUAAAUCAGCACUAUUUAUUGAUUUUUUAUAUGGGCACUUCCCAUGACUUUAUUCGUGAAUAUUUCUUUGAAUGUGCGGUAGGGAAAAUAUUGUUUGCUUGAAGGUUAGAAACUUAAUGUUGACAUCUUGAAAGAUGGCAGUAAACAUUUAACUGCAGAGUAGCUGGGAAAAAGAUUGCUGUUAAAUAAUAAGACAGAACUCCACGCAAGAUAUGUCAUGCAUGCGAUAUGCAUGAACUAUCUUUUUAAAAUAAUUUGGAUCUGAAUUAUCUUUGAGAAAUGGUAUGGUUAUGAGGGUCUCUAUGUGCAAAAUGUUGCAUUUAUUUAGUGUACAAGUUAUUGCUUAAGCAUUGAUUUUGUUAUGGAAAUAAUAUAGUUUAUGUGACUUAAAGAGAUAUACAUGUUUAUUUUAGUGAUGUGUUUUUGCUGAUCCAAAUCUGUUCCUGCACACUAUUUAAAGUAGAUAACUACAAGUUAUCUCAUUUAAAUGGGAAUAGUAUUGUACUGUGGAAAAGUGUUGUGAGUUCAAAUAAAAAUACUAUGAACCGUU